UCCGCUUCGACCUCGACUGCAUCUCCUCAACGCGCAGCCGGAUCUACAAGGUCCAACCAACUCCGACGACGUCAUCCACCACUUGUUCGGCUCCCGCCGCCGUUGGAAGCAGAGAUUUAUGCGCCUUAGUAGAUCUCCCCAGUGUGUGUGGACCUUCCUCUACCCUUUUCCGAUCCUCUGAUCAGCCCCGUCAUCACUGGCCGCACCUUCUCCGAUCAGCCUCGUCAUCUUCUUCUCCGCACCUUCUCCUAUGAGUUCGAGACGGUGACGACGAAGGUGAUUCGUCGGUGAGGUGCAGAUCUAUCGAGGAUCCACCGCCUUGAGGCGGUUGUCAUUUCUGACAAGGACACCGGCCGAUCCAAGGGCUAUGGUUUUGUGAGUAUUUCGAUUCAUUUCUAUUCUUGUUCAAUCUUGAUCACGCUUCACUGACUGCUAAUUUAGUUGUGGAAUUUGAUGAAUCAAUGGACGUAGUAGCUUUUGUAGGCGGUGGUAAUAGUUUUUGUAGAUGGUGGUAGUAGCUUUUGUGGCUGGUGGUAGUAUUUUUUGUGUUCGUCGAAAACCUCACAGUAGUAGCUUUUGUAGGCUGUGGUAGUAGCUUUUGUGGCUGGUGGUAGUAGUUUUUGUGUUCGUCGGAAACCUCACAGUAGUAGCUUUUGUAGGCGGUGGUAGUAGUUUUUGUGGCUGGUGGUAGUAGCUUUUGUGUUCAUCGGAAACCUCACAGUAGUAGCUUUUGUAGGCGGUGGUAGUAGCUUNNNNNNNNNNNNNNNNNNNNCUCUCUCUCUCUCUCUCUCUCUCUCUCUCUCUCUCUCUCUCUCUCUCUCUCUCUCUCUCUCGCAAACCCACUGCCAUGACGAAGCCGCCACCUCGACGCAACUUCCGACUCAGCCUUGAUUGCAUCUCCAGCUCUGACGAUGCCGUCGCCUUGACGAUGACAUCUGAAUCCACCGUCGACGACUCCUCGACGACCUCCGCUUCGACCUCGACUGCAUCUCCUCAACGCGCAGCCGAAUCUACAAGGUCCAACCAACUCCGACGACGUCAUCCACCACCUGUUCGGCGCCCGCCACCGUUGGAAGCAGAGAUUUAUGCGCCUUAGUAGAUCUCCCCAGUGCGCGUGGACCUUCCUCUACCUUUUCCGAUCCUCUGAUCAGCCCUCGUCAUCGCCGGCCGCACCUUCUCCGAUUAGCCUCGUCGUCUUCUUCUCCGCACCUUCUCCUAUGAGUUCGAGACGGUGACGACGAAGGUGAUUCGUCGGUGAGGUGCAGAUCUAUCGAGGAUCCACCGCCUUGAGGCGGUUGUCAUUUCUGACAAGGACACCGACCGAUCCAAGGGCUAUGGUUUUGUGAGUAUUCUGAUUCAUUUCUAUUCUUGUUCAAUCUUGAUCACGCAUCACUGACUGCUAAUUUAGUUGUGGAAUUUGAUGAAUCAAUGGACGUAUGAGUUUUGAAUGGAUUGUUUUGUGUUUCUGUUGAGGAUUUUGGUGACUUUCAACGAGCUAGAGGCUGCUGCCAUGGUGUGUGCUGAUCUGAUGGCCGUCAGGCGACCUGUAAUCUGGCUUCACAACGGCGCCUUCGAGUGCCUGUGAGUUAUGGUAUGAAGCAUUUAGGAACUCAUUCUUUGUAGUCACCGGAAUUAUCACCGUAGUAGCUUUUGUAGGCGGUGGUAGUAGUUUUUGUAGAUGGUGGUAGUAGCUUUUGUGGCUGGUGGUAGUAUUGUUUGUGUUCGUCGAAAACCUCACAGUAGUAGCUUUUGUAGGCGGUGAUAGUAGCUUUUGUGGCUGAUGGUAGUAGUUUUUGUGUUCGUCGAAAACCUCACAGUAGUAGCUUUUGUAGGCGGUGGUAGUAGCUUUUGCAGCUUGUGGUAGUAGUUUUUUGUGGCUGGUGGUAGUAGCUUUUGUUUUCAUCAGAAACCUCACAGUAGUAGCUUUUGUAGGCGGUGGUAGUAGCUUUUAUAGCUGGUGGUAGUAGCUUUUUUAGCUUGUAGUAGUAAUUUUUGUUAUCAUCGGAGGUCGGCCGGAAGCCUCGCCGGAGGUCGGUCGGAAAUCUCGCCGGAGGUCGGCCGGAAACUUUUGUAGUAGCUUUUGUAGGCGGUGGUAUAGCUUUUAUAGCUGGUGGUAGUAGCUUUUUUAGCUGGUAGUAGUAAUUUUUGUCAUCGUCGGAGGUCGGCCGGAAACCUCGCCGGAGGUCAGUCGGAAAUCUCGCCGGAGGUCGGCCAGAAACUUCGCCGGAAACCUCGCCGGAGGUCGGCCGGAAACCUCACCGGAGGUCCGCUGAAAAUCUCACCGGAGGUCCGCCGGAGACUGUUCCGAAAUGAGAGUGGUUGUUGACUUUUUAUACUAGUGGCAUUCUUGUAAAUAUAAAGGAGAAAAUCUAAUUUUUUUGUUGGAUGGCAGUCUGUAAUUAUGUUGAACUUUAAUACUUAAUACAAAACUUUAUUUAGACUUGGGUGGACUUAUGUGGGUAAAAAUGUUAUGGUGGAUCUAUGUGGGAAAAAAUAUCUCAAAGUGGACUUAUAUGUAAUUGGCCCUUUCAAAUAUUCCUGUGCAUUUGGCAUGCACGGCCGUCCGUUGGCACACCCUAUGCGACGAACUUUCAUGGACGGGCAACAACCUUGAGCUAACUAUCAACAACACCCUAUAAAUUGGCAGCA
rnacentral:lncRNA from 1 species